rnacentral:rRNA from 1 species
CAAUAGCGUAUAUUAAAGCUGUUGCGGUUAAAAAGCUCGUAGUUGGAUUUCUGUCGAGGACAACUGGUCCGCCCUCCGGGUGAGCACAUAGUUUGGUCUUGACAUCUUGCUGGAAGCUGUUGCUGCACUUGGCUGUGUGGCGCAGUGUUCAGCACUUUCACUUUGAGGAAAUUGGAGUGUUUCAAGCAGGCACAUGCCUUUGGACACAGUAGCAUGGAAUAAUUAGAUUGGGCUUUUGCUCCAAUUUGUCGGUUUCUGGAGCUGAGGUGAGUAUUAAUGGGGAUUGUUGGGGGCAUCCGAAUUUAGCCGUCAGAGGUGAAAUUCUUGGAUCUGCUAAAGACGGACAACUGCGAAAGCGUUUGCCCAGGAUGUUUNCAUUGA